rnacentral:rRNA from 1 species
CGUUGACCUCGGAUCAGGUAGG